UGGGGAAUAUUGCACAAUGGGCGCAAGCCUGAUGCAGCCAUGCCGCGUGUAUGAAGAAGGCCUUCGGGUUGUAAAGUACUUUCAGCGGGGAGGAAGGGAGUAAAGUUAAUACCUUUGCUCAUUGACGUUACCCGCAGAAGAAGCACCGGCUAACUCCGUGCCAGCAGCCGCGGUAAUACGGAGGGUGCAAGCGUUAAUCGGAAUUACUGGGCGUAAAGCGCACGCAGGCGGUCUGUCAAGUCGGAUGUGAAAUCCCCGGGCUUAACCUGGGAACUGCAUUCGAAACUGGCAGGCUAGAGGCUUGUAGAGGGGGGUAGAAUUCCAGGUGUAGCGGUGAAAUGCGUAGAGAUCUGGAGGAAUACCGGUGGCGAAGGCGGCCCCCUGGACAAAGACUGACGCUCAGGUGCGAAAGCGUGGGGAGCAAACAGG
rnacentral:rRNA from 1 species